GAUCAUCCUCGCACUAAGAGGAUGAAAAUGGAGGCUAGCAAACAUAGAUAACAGAUCUAGGAAUGGAUCACCGUAGUUAAAAGUUCUUGACAUGGAAGUGGGAGAGCAGAGAUGCUGGUCAGACGAGCUUCCCUUCACACUGAUACAUGUGCAGUUUGCUGGUCUCCGAACCGUGCUCUGCCUGCGGGACUUGUCGGCCUAAGUUGAGCCAGAACUGGCUGGACUCUGGCUUGGCCUCGUUGGUGGCCGCCGACGAGCCAUGGACUUGAUACGGCGCCUUGGUGUUGAUUCUGAAACAUGUUG
rnacentral:lncRNA from 1 species